GGAGAGAUGGCAGAGUGGUCGAUUGCACUACCUUGGAAAGGUAGCGUACGGCAACGUACCGAGGGUUCGAAUCCCUCUUUCUCCGCCA
rnacentral:tRNA from 1 species